UACAGAGGUGGCAAGCGUUGUUCGGAAUUACUGGGCGUAAAGGGCGCGUAGGCGGCCUUCUAAGUCAGACGUGAAAUCCCCCGGCUUAACCUGGGAACUGCGUCUGAUACUGGAGGGCUUGAGUGCGGGAGAGGGAUGCAGAAUUCCAGGUGUAGCGGUGAAAUGCGUAGAUAUCUGGAGGAAUACCGGUGGCGAAGGCGGCAUCCUGGACCGACAUUGACGCUGAACGGCGAAAGCUAGGGGAGCAAACGGG
rnacentral:rRNA from 1 species